rnacentral:lncRNA from 1 species
GGAAAGCUACCUGCGGGGGAUGCCUGCAAACAAUGUGCGCGCGCACGCAGGCACAAUAGGCGUGGGAUGAGCACACAAUGCGCACAUCGCAUUCGCGCGAGCUGCGCGAGAUUAGACCCAGCGAGCAUCUUAUCGCGUGCAGGCAGGCUGUCUGCAUGUCAUCUUGCCUGCGGAUAGGCGCAGCACACUAUGCGCGCGCUACCCACGCAAUAGGCCUAUGUGGAAAGCCCCCUGUGUGCCUGGGGCCUACACACAUGGUGCCCAAUGCGCCAAGGCCCUAUGCGGUCGUAGGCUAGCCCCUACGCACGCGGCAGGUGGCCUAUGCGCCGAUAAGCUAGCCCCUACCCGCUCGACAGAUGGCUUGUGCGCUAAUAGGCAAACCUGCAGUGCGCUGGGCGGGUCACUACCACCUCAGACAAUGUGUUGAUGUCACCUCGGGUAGUGCGUCACCGUCGCCUCGGGUGGCGCACCACCGCCACCGGCAGAGGAGGCCUUCCCCUCUCAUUUUUCGUGCUGAGCAUCUUUUUCCUCUCUAUCUUCACCAGAUUUCGUCACUUGAUAUGAAUUCAACGGUUCCAAAUUUUUAUAAAUAGAUGUUGCCUUCCCAC